GGAGAUAUAGCUCAGUGGUAGAGCAUUUGACUGCAGAUCAAGAGGUCCCUGGUUCAAGUCCGCGUGCCCCCU
rfam:Danio rerio chromosome 11 genomic contig CTG1054, GRCz11 reference primary assembly.